rnacentral:rRNA from 1 species
UGGCGGCGUGCUUAACACAUGCAAGUGGAGCGACGAACCGGGCUUCGGCCCGGGGCAAAGCCGCGAACGGGUGAGUAACACGUGGGUAACCCGCCCUGAAGACCGGGACAACCCGAGGAAACUCGGGCUAAUACCGGAUGUGUUCACUGUCCACAAGAACAGUGAGAAAAGGAAGCUUCGGCCUCCGCUUCAGGAUGGGCCCGCGGCCCAUUAGCUUGUUGGUGAGGUAACGGCUCACCAAGGCUGCGAUGGGUAGCUGGUCUGAGAGGACGAUCAGCCACACUGGGACUGAGACACGGCCAGACUCCUACGGGAGGCAGCAGUGGGGAAUUUUGCGCAAUGCGCGACAGCGUGACGCAGCAACGCCGCGUGGGGGAAGAAGGCCUUCGGGUUGUAAACCUCUUUCAGGAGGGACGAAGCUUCGGCAGCGAGUAGCUGUCCGGAGUGACGGUACCUCCACAAGAAGCCCCGGCUAACUACGUGCCAGCAGCCGCGGUAAUACGUAGGGGGCUAGCGUUGUCCGGAAUCAUUGGGCGUAAAGCGCGCGUAGGCGGCCAGAUAAGUCCGGUGUGAAAGUCACAGGCUCAACCUGUGAAUGCCGCUGGAAACUGUCUGGCUAGAGUCCGGAAGGGGCGAGUGGAAUUCCUGGUGUAGCGGUGAAAUGCGCAGAUAUCAGGAGGAACACCAAUGGCGAAGGCAGCUCGCUGGGACGGUACUGACGCUGAGGCGCGAAAGCGUGGGGAGCGAACAGGAUUAGAUACCCUGGUAGUCCACGCCGUAAACGAUGGGUACUAGGUGUAGGAGGUGUCGACUCCUCCUGUGCCGAAGCUAACGCAUUAAGUACCCCGCCUGGGGAGUACGGCCGCAAGGCUAAACUCAA